rnacentral:lncRNA from 1 species
AGCAUGUCUGCACUCCUCCCCGAGCUCGUAGGUAGAGGAGCCCAGACCACAGGGUUCGGCGAAGCUCUCCCCCAGGAAGAUUCCACAGCUACGCCCCCCUCAAUGCUCCAAAAGCUCAAGUGCUGAUGGAGGUCAGGGAGCAGCUGCCAAGGUCGGAAAGAACACACACACGCCCCAGGAAGUGCAACCCUAACAAGUUCUACUUCUAUCAUCGUGACCACGGCCACGACACGAAGGACUGUAUUCAGCUCCAAGAUGAGAUUGAGGAGCUCAUCAAACGAGAUUGGCUCGACAGAUUCAUUCGAUGCCAGCCUGAAAGUAGGGA